CUGACCUUUAUGCUCUGCCAGAUAACAGUGGUAGUGAUAUAAGUGCUUCCUUUGAAUUCUGCAGGUUUUCUCUCAGAAGUGGCACAUGAGCUCUGCCUCUCCUGUCCUGCCUGUGCACCCUCUGUCCAACGUGACCAAGAUCCUGCUCUGCACCCCUGGGAAGAAGCUGGAAGAUCCAGGCAAGAAGCCAGACUGACAGUUCCCUGUGUCUGCUUACUUCAAGUGAAACUGGA